rnacentral:tRNA from 1 species
CGGGGUGUGGCGCAGUUGGUAGCGCGCCUGCUUUGGGAGCAGGAAGUCGCCGGUUCGAGUCCGGUCACCCCGACCA